UCCCAGUUUGAGAGUCCCCCUUUGUUAAAUAUAACUGAGCAACCCUAUAGGUGGCGAUGUACGCCCGCGAGUCGCCAAUAAGCCAAUGGAUGAAGAAGAGCCAGUCACGCUGACCGUGAGUCUCUUGUAUGCUUGAGAGUGCAAUUUAUUCUGCUUACCUGACUCAUGCAGAAUUUGUCCUGAUGUUUGGCUGUGGUCCCUCCAUCAUCCAGACACUUUUUGGCAACUGGUCUGUGUAUGGAGGCCCCCAUGAUCUAUAUAGAUCCAGUGUUCUUUUCUCCCACAAACUCCACUUUCAGGAGCUCCUGUAAGCUGGUGGCCAUAUUGGUGAAUGAGAAUAGAGGGGAUUUGCAGACCACCAUUGAGAUGUUUCUCUUCUUUCGUAGGUAUAAAAAGUGCUCUGAUUACAGAUGUUUCACUGCUGUCAUUGGCAUGCUUGUCAUCUGACAAGGAUUUUGUGAAUAAUUGAAUAAUAAUAAAUGGAUAAUUUCUA